rnacentral:rRNA from 1 species
GACGAACGCUGGCGGCGUGCUUAAUACAUGCAAGUCGAACGGAAAGGCCCUGCGUUUGUGGGGUGCUCGAGUGGCGAACGGGGGAGUAACACGUGAGUAACAUGCCCUUGACUUUGGGAUAACUUCAGGAAACUGGGGCUAAUACCGGAUAGGAGCUACUGCUGCAUGGUGGGGGUUGGAAAAUUUCGGCGGUUGGGGAUGGACUAGCGGCUUAUCAGCUUGUUUGUGGGGUAGUGGCUUACAAAGGCUUUGACGGGUAGGCUGCCUGAGAGGGUGAACGGCGACAUGGCGACUGAGAGACGGCCCAGACUGCUACGGGAGGCAGCAGUGGGGAAUAUUGCACAAUGGGCGGAAGCCUGAUGCAGCAACGCCGCGUGCGGGAUGACGGCCUUCGGGUGGUAAACCAAUGUCGCCUGAGAUGAAGCGUGAUUGACGGUAAUGGAUAAAAAAGCACCGGCUAACUACGUG